AGGUGCUUGGGAUUAGGACCUGUCCCCAGUAAAGUUUUUAAACAAGCAAGACCUCGUUUCAGUGGUACAAGUGCUUCAAUCAGUGAAGGUUCAUGUUCGUCCCAAUGUCAACAGAACCAUAAGAAAAUGAUGAAUGCUCAGGAAAAAAUGAUGAAUGCUUUCAAGGCAUAUAUGAUAAUGAAAGAAGGGACGAUUCCAGAACAGUUUGCGGGGUUCUUUGCUUCUUCUUCGGCGGUUUCUCCUACAACACCAAGUGAUGCGACUAGUGGAUCCCUUUCGCCCAUGGAUGCAAGAAGAUCAUGCGGUGAUAGUAAUCCUAGUGACAACCGUUGAUUUCAUUGUAUUGUUUGGUAGGAACGGAUGUUAGAAUGCUGGAGUGAAUGUAUUGUGUUUAAAUUUAGUUUUUGACUGAUCUGAUAAUGCUACUUAAAUUUUUAGUUUCAAAAACUAAGGGUACUUUAUGAUAACAUUUGUGAUUUUACGAUA